GUUGGGGCUCAGUGGUAGAGUGCUUGCCUAGCACGUGUGAGGCACUAGGUUCAAUUCUCAGCCCACA
rnacentral:tRNA from 1 species